rnacentral:snRNA from 1 species
UGGCUCAGCUGAAGAAGAUACACU